GCGAAUUUAUUGGAUAGAUCCAUUUACGAGUGAAAAAAGAUUGAGUGGUCAUUAUCAUACAACUUUUAAAAAAUUGGUAAUACAUAGAAGAUGGAAGAAAUUUUAUAAUUGUUAUCGAAUGUCAUAUUCGUCAUUCCAAGAACUUCUUUUGAUUCUAAAACCUGAGUUAACUCGUCAAAAUACAGCAAUGAGAUCAUGUAUAUCGGCAGAAGAACGUUUGCUCAUCACAUUGAGGUAUUUAGCUACGGGUUGCUAUUUCUCAGAUAUUCACUAUGACUUUAAGUGUGGACAAACGACGGCAGGCAUCAUAGUCCGUGAAACAGUGAAAAUAAUAUGGGAUAAAUUAAAAAACAUCUGUAUGCCAGAACCAACCGAGGAAUCACAUCUAAAACUGCUGAAGGAUUUAUGAAAUACGCAAAUUUUCCCAAUCUACUUGGGGCUAUCGAUGGGAAACAUAUCAGAGUUAUAAAACCUCAACAUAGUGGAUCAGAGUAUUUUAAUUAUAAAAAAUAUUUUUCCAUCGUAUUGCUUGCAAUAUGUGACGCAAAUUACAGAUUUAUCGAUAUAGAUGUCGGAUGCUAUGGAAAGGCUGCAGACUCAACAAUAAAUGAAUGUAGUGAAUGGACCAAAAAGAUAAGGCAAGGAAAUUAUAAUAUACCAAAUGCGAGACCAAUAUCUAAUAAUGGAGUGCCAAUACCAUUUACGUUUGUUGGAGAUGAAGGCUUUGCAUUAUCUCAACAUUUACAGAGACCUUACGCUGGAAAAAUCUUGCCACGAGAGAAAAGAAUAUAUAAUUACCGCUUGACACGUGCCAGACGAUACAUUGAAUGUACAUUUGGUAUAUUAAGCAACAAAUUUAAAAUCUUUAAUCGGCCACUGAACGUUAGCGUGGACUUCAGUGUGGCUAUUGUGAAAGCCUGUUGUGUACUGCAUAAUUUCAUACGUGAACGUGACGGUUAUAAUUUUCAUAAUUCUUUGAGUAUAGUUGGUUUAGAAGAUCCUCCUGAAGAUGCAAGUUUGAUUUCGAUUGGUGCAAGACGGUCACAGGGACAAUUAAGCGGAACUAUGAUACGAAAUAUGUACGCUGAUUAUUUUAUUAGUGAUGAAGGUGCAGUACCAUGGCAAGAUUCUAAAA